UUGAUUUUUCACGGUCCCAGAAACAGGCUCACCUCACCCCCUGGGAAAUAUCACUAUCAGUCAUCCAGUGCUCCAUUUUCAAAGGUCCAGGUCCCAGCUCUGCCAUCUCUACAAGGAUCCUCUUCCCGAGCCCAGGAAUUGAUCAAUUUAAAUACCAGAAGAGAUUUCAUCUACAUCAGAGGUCACGAAACCAAUGGCUCCUGGCAUCUGGCAGAGGGGUGAUUUCGAGGAUUCCAGUUCCAUGUCCGGCAGCAGUCCACUGCGUCAAUUUCCUCAGAGCCACACCCAUGGGAUCCACCGUGCUCAGACCUGAGCUUAGCACACGCACUACAUCAGAG
rnacentral:lncRNA from 10 species